rnacentral:rRNA from 1 species
UGGGCAACCUGCCCCUAGCUCUGGGAUAACUCCGGGAAACCGGGGCUAAUACCGGAUACGACCUCGAGCGGCACCUCUUGAGGUGGAAAGUUUUUCGGCUAGGGAUGGGCCCGCGGCCUAUCAGCUUGUUGGUGAGGUAACGGCCCACCAAGGCGACGACGGGUAGCCGGCCUGAGAGGGCGACCGGCCACACUGGGACUGAGACACGGCCCAGACCUCCGUACGGGAGCA